UUAUGCACUGCUCAAGUAACUUGCUGAGGUACAGCUGAUCUAAGGACGAUGAACUGCAGGCUAAAAGAACCAACAACCCCUCUAAUCUCUACCUAGGUACUAAACCUGUUGUCCUAUUCUUGCUGUGUUAUGUUGUCUUUCUGUCUCAAAUAUCUCAGGUCUUCUGUGCAUAUUUGCUCCCUUCCUGUUUAUCAGAAAAAAGGAAAGGAAAAUCCUGCAAACAUACUGCAAGAAGAUGGAGAGGAAAACUGCAGGCUUGUUUCUCAGGGUAUUUAUUUGUUUGCUUUUAAGAUUAUGAGGUCCUGGAGCCCAAGUAAGAAUUUUCUUUGUGUGCAAAACAUUCAGCACUGCUGGCAAAUGUGAACAGUAACAGUGAUAAGAGCUGAUCUGCAGGCAACUGCUUUCCUCUUCUGAAAGUCUUCAAGGGUUCCUUCCAUCCUAAAGCACUAAAUGCCUGCCAUCAGCCAACUUUUGGAGAUGACUUUCUUCAUGUUUAUAUCAGAUAUUGUAUACCCAAGCAGAUCCUAUAGAACAAACUCUACCUC